rnacentral:rRNA from 1 species
UACAGAGGUCUCAAGCGUUGUUCGGAUUCAUUGGGCGUAAAGGGUGCGUAGGCGGCGCGGUAAGUCGGGUGUGAAAUCUCGGAGCUUAACUCCGAAACUGCAUUCGAUACUGCCGUGCUUGAGGACUGGAGAGGAGAGUGGAAUUCCUAGUGUAGAGGUGAAAUUCGUAGAUAUUAGGAAGAACACCGGUGGCGAAGGCGGCCCACUGGAUCGGUACUGACGCUGAGGUGCGAAAGCGUGGGGAGCAAACAGG